CCUGUGUUUAGCAGAUGGAGGGGGCGGGGAGUUAGAGCGAGGAGAGAGAGCCAGAGCAGCUCAGGACGUGUAGAUCUCGAACCUCCGCAGGAUGGGGGUCCUGGACCUGCUCCAGACGCUGAAGGAGAAGGCCGAGCGCUUCCUGAACGAGGACAACGUGGUGACCGGCGUCCUCAGCUGGAUGGAGAAGAAGACGGGAGUCAGGAAGAAGAUCCUGGCCGCAGGCGCCGUGUCGCUAACGGGGCUCUACCUGAUGUAUGGCUACGGCGCGGCGCUGCUCUGCAACCUGAUCGGCUUCGUCUACCCGGCCUACUACUCCAUCAAGGCCAUCGAGAGUGCGGAUAAGGAGGACGACACCAAGUGGCUGACCUACUGGGUGGUGUACGGCGUCUUCGGCCUGGCUGAGUUCUUCUCCGACCUCUUCCUCUACUGGUUCCCCUUCUACUACGCCGCCAAGUGCGCCUUCCUGCUGUGGUGCAUGGCGCCGGUGUCGUGGAACGGCUCGCAGGUGCUCUACUCCCGCCUGGUGCGGCCGCUCUUCCUCCGCCACGAGGCGGCGGUGGACGGCCUGGUGAGCGAGCUGGGCGGCAAGGCGGUGGGCGUGGCCGAGAGCCUGACCCGCGAGGUCCUCUCCUCUCUGGUGAAGAGUCGGGCCGUCGUCAGUCCUGCGGCUCCGGAACCGGAACGCCGGAGACUUCCCAGUUCGGAACCGGAACCGGAACCCGAGCCGGAACCGGAACGCCGGCCAUUCCUGGGCUAACUAGCUAACUGGCUAACAAGCUAGCUCGCUGGUUUGGACGACGUUAGCGUCGACUGACGCUAGCUAGCGGCGCGACAAAGGAGGAGAAAAAGAAGACGAGGCGGAUGCCAGAACGUUACGUUAGCUGGGAUGCUAGCAAUGUAGCAUUAGCCUGGAUGCUAACAGGACACGUUAGCGGGGAUGCUAGUGCAAUGCAUUAGCUCGGAUGUUCGUAAUGUAGCAUUAGCUGGAAUGCUAGCACAACACUUUAAAUUAAAUGCUAUCAGUGUGAUGUUAGCUAACAUGCUAGUGAUGUAGCACUAGCCUGGACACUUACCAUGUAGCAUUAGCGCAGAUGCUAGCAUGAUGCAUUAGCUGGGAUGCUAGCGACAUACCUUUACUUUAAAUGCGUCAGCUGGGUUGCUAGCACGGCGUGUUAGCUUGCAUGCUAACAUAUCACAUUUGCUUGGAUGCUAGCGAUGUAGCAUCACCAUGGACGCUAACGAUGUAGCCUUAGCAUGAUUCAUUAGCCUGGAUGCUAUCAACUUAGCAUUACCUUGGAUGCUAGCGCGUCACAAUAGCUCAGAUGCUAGUGACGUAGCAUUAGCUUGGAUGCUACAUUGAUAGCAUCAAACGGAAGCUUUUGCCUCGGGUUAGCUAGCUAGCUAGCUAGCUAGGUAACGCUGCAUUGCGUUGUGGCUAAAUGCUAACCGCUAACA